UUUCCGUAGGUGAACCUGCGGAAGGAUCAUUAUUGAAUAAACCUGAUGUGGCUGUAAGCUGGCUUUUCGAAGCAUGUGCUCGUCCGUCAUCUUUAUCUCUCCACCUGUGCACAUUUUGUAGUCUUGGAUACCUCUCGAGGCAACUCGGAUUUUAGGGUCGCUGUGCUGUACAAGUCGGCUUUCCUUUCAUUUCCAAGACUAUGUUUUUAUAUACACCAAAGUAUGUUUAAAGAAUGUCAUCAAUAGGAACUUGUUUCCUAUAUAAUUAUACAACUUUCAGCAACGGAUCUCUUGGCUCUC
rnacentral:misc_RNA from 1 species